rnacentral:rRNA from 1 species
CCUACGGGAGGCUGCAGUGGGGAAUAUUGGACAAUGGGCGAAAGCCUGAUCCAGCCAUGCCGCGUGUGUGAAGAAGGCCUUCGGGUUGUAAAGCACUUUCAGUGGGGAAGAAAGCCUUGGGGCUAAUACCCUCGAGGAAGGACAUCACCCACAGAAGAAGCACCGGCUAACUCCGUGCCAGCAGCCGCGGUAAUACGGAGGGUGCGAGCGUUAAUCGGAAUUACUGGGCGUAAAGCGCGCGUAGGCGGUCUGAUAAGCCGGUUGUGAAAGCCCCGGGCUCAACCUGGGAACGGCAUCCGGAACUGUCAGGCUAGAGUGCAGGAGAGGAAGGUAGAAUUCCCGGGGUAGCGGUGAAAUGCGUAGAGAUCGGGAGGAAUACCAGUGGCGAAGGCGGCCUUCUGGACUGACACUGACGUUGAGGUGCGAAAGCGUGGGUAGCAAACAGGAUUAGAUACCCCAGUAGUC